rnacentral:rRNA from 1 species
GACGAACGCUGGCGGCGUGCCUAAUACAUGCAAGUCGAGCGAAGUUUUUCUGGUGCUUACACUAGAAACACUUAGCGGCGAACGGGUGAGUAACACGUAAAGAACCUGCCUCAUAGACUGGGACAACUAUUGGAAACGAUAGCUAAUACCGGAUAACAGUAUUUCUCGCAUGUGAGUUAUUUAAAAGUUGGUUAUGCUAACACUAUGAGAUGUCUUUGCGGUGCAUUAGCUAGUUGGUGGGGUAAAGGCCCACCAAGGCGACGAUGCAUAGCCGACCUGAGAGGGUGAUCGGCCACACUGGGACUGAGACACGGCCCAGACUCCUACGGGAGGCAGCAGUAGGGAAUCUUCCGCAAUGGGCGAAAGCCUGACGGAGCAACGCCGCGUGAGUGAAGAAGGAUUUCGGUUCGUAAAGCUCUGUUGUUAGGGAAGAAUGGAUAUGUAGUAACUAUACAUGUAAGAGACGGUACCUAACCAGAAAGCCACGGCUAACUACGUG